UCCGAGUUCGUCUCGUGGUUAGGAUGUCUGGCUCUCACCCAGAAGGCCGGAGUUCAAUCCUCCGACUCGGGA